GUGUGAGUGUAUAUGUUACGAUUUUAUAUAUAUACACAUUUAUGGUUUUACCAGCAUGUGAAUUUUAAGAGGAUAGUUCCAUUUAUGCCAUGGCUGGUGAGAACUCAGUUUCUUUCUCUUUUUUCCUUCUUCCUUCUUUCUCUUCUGAUAACUACUUUCAUGUGCUAUUCUCUUUGUCAAUGCAUCCAGGCCUUUCCCUUAGGUCUUUUAGGUUCCACAGCCCAUCUGUUACACACUGCUGUAACUAAAGUUACAACUGCUUCACACUCUACCUUGAUGCUUUGGCCUCUUUGCUGGUCACACGUUUUCCGUUUAAUUCGGGUUUUUAGUGUGAUUAUGAAUGUCUCUAUGAAGCUGAGUCUUUGCGUGGAGAGUUGACUCAGGAGCAGGGUGGGACACAAUUACUGCCUCGUUUUCAAAAGACAGAGUCCACAGGUUAGGCCUUAGCACUAUUACGCAUUCCUUGUCUCACACAGUGCGUACCACUUAGGAGGCGCUCAGCAAAUGGUGUUUAAAGACUGAGCCAGGGAACCCAGGAGCUGCUCAGUGAGUAAAGGCUCUGCUGCAAGCCCUGAUAGUCUGAGUCCUCCACCUGGGAAGUGCAGGGCGGAAGAAGAGAACCGACUUCCAGAAGCUGCCUUGUAGUCUCAGUGAGCUUGCUGCGACAUACAUGCCCUACCUCUGGUAAAUAAACAAAUCUCAUUAACACAUUUUAAGAAGAGACUGACUGUAAUGAAGCAGAUCAGACACUGGUAUAGCCUUUUCUUUUAUUCUUUUUUUUCCUUUUAAACCUUGGCUCUUCUUGGUAUCUGUUUGUAAAACAAGUCAAGGCUGGUGUUCAAUUCAAGACCCUCCUGCACUGCAUGGCCUCUUGAGAAGAGGAAUUUCAGGCAUGUGCCAUAGCCUUAUGGUUAUGAUCUGGCUUUACUCCAGUGCCUUGAGAGGAAAUGAAAAAGGAAAAUAUUGCAACUGGCCUUCCUCCUAAAAUGUAUAUGAUGGAGACCCUAAUCCCAUCCAGUGUUAGUUUCCCUUCUCCACAGUGCAAGUGCUGGUGAGUGCUACCCAGUAGCCAACAGCAAGGCCCCGCUUCUGUUGGCAAUGUUCUGUGGUUAUGAAGUGAAGAGGAAUCAGUUUCACCUUCAUGAUCGCUCACCACAGGAAGACAGGAGUUAAGUCGAGAUGAUUUUCAGGGGCAUUGAGUCGCUUUCUGGGCUAUUUCAGCCUCUUAAGUAUUUGGAAAUAAACUCCUUAUACAGAGCUGUAAGUCAGUUGAAGGCUGUGAUAGGAUCUCUGCCCUUAAGUAUGCUAUGAAUGCUGUUACUGUAGGAGGUUGAAACACUAACACAGGUGUUCUAUGUAUUCUCUGCUUUUAACCCUUUCUGGAGAUGAGAAGCGGCAAGAGGAGAGAAGCGGGGAGGGGAACCACAAAACAGCUUCAAAGGAUUUUCUUGUAAACGGUUUACCCUCAGAUAUACAUGUGGGUUUAGUGUUUGCAGUAAUGCAUUUGAAAACAAAGUAUUGAAUGUUCGCCAUGUAAAUUGUUUCAACCACUGCUUGUUAAUUUUUUGAUUAUGUUUUUUCUUUUCUUUUCACUGACUGAGAAGUAGGUUUUGAUUAAAAAAAAUAAAAUCUCUUGAGGAAGCUAUGUAUUAAAAGGAAUUUUGGCUUUUUAAAAUCUCCAAGGUUAGAUUUAUUAUGACAAAUAUGGUGUUUAACUAAGUCAAGUAACCGUACCAUCCAGAUCAGCUUUGCUUGAAAGCCAAAGAGUGAGUUUUUUUCUGUAUUUUCUAUUAAUCUUUAGCUUAGCUGUCUUUUCUUAUAUUUAUGUUACUAGGGCAUCUGCAGAUUUAUGGCUCCUGUGGCUCAGUGAGGAAGUGGAGUCAAGGUGUCAUUGGCAUAGAGCUGAUGCACAGAGACCCUUUGAUACCGUCCACUGACUUCAUUCUGACUGCAAACGGACCGUAGCUGGCAGUGGUGUGAAACAGAGAAAGGCAGAGAUCAGCAUUUCCCUCUGUCUUCAGUGGCAGAGAUCAAAUGAGCAAAGGGACAGUCCAGUCUUGGGAAAAGAUGAUUUAUAAUGAUGCUUAAGGGAGAAUACACAACAAGGGGCUCUCAAUGUGGGCCUUAUGCUAUUUCUUGGCCAGAUAGAUCAUUCUAUGUUGAAAGGCCACACCAUACUUUGGAGGAUGUUUAGCAGUCUCUCUGGCCUCUACCCACUGGCAGAAAUCUUCCUCCCAUGUUGUGAUAACCAAAAAUAUAUCUUCAUGUUGUCACAUGUGGCCUCCUUCCUACGCGGACAACACUGUCUUAGAAGCUUGAAGCUAGUCUUUCGCACAAUUUUUAUUUUGUUGUCUAGACAAUUAAAAGCAACAAGGAGUGUCUGUUGCAGCCAAAAGUACCUCCCUUUGCUGUGUGAUACAUUAAGACUUCUGUUGUCAGCGCUUACUCUGCACCUUACUUAAUGUUUUUGUUUAAAUAAUCUUUUGUUGCUUGCAAUAUUUGCUUGCAAGAAUGAUUAUUUUCGCCACAUUGAAAUAAUAAAUCAAAUCGUAUAUAAGACACAAUUAUAAAAAUGUAUUGAAAGAGAAGCAGACCAUUAAUAUGCAGUUGCAGCUAGCAGUGUUUGUAGGCUACCAGCUGAAGACCACAAGCUCAGAGAUUGUUUCUUCAUUAGAAGAGAGAUUAGCAGAGAUUAUUGGGAGGGGGGGUACACUGAUAGAGGCUUUUCUUCCUGAGGCAAUCAUAAUGACUGAACACUUGGAAGAAGUGUACUGUGAUUUGUCAUGUGCACUUGGCUCUUUAAAGGACCCCCAGUUGCUAGUCAACUAAUCCUUUAGGAAUUCUUAGGUGGCCUGGUGUGGUGGUGCCAGCCUUUAAUCCCUGCACUCAAGGGAGGCAGAGGCAAGUGGGUCUCUGUGACUUCGAGGCCAGCCUGGUCUACAAAGUUAGUCUAAAGCUAGCAGGGUGAGAAGAGAAGGCAGUUAAUUGUAGAAGAUAUGGUUAGGAGACAGUUGAGCCAGGAGAAACUGAGCUGAGCGAAUAGCAGAGCAGGAGCUGCUAGUACCAGGAAAACUGGGAGAGGGACUGUUUAAGCAGGCCAUUGGGGAACCGAGGGUGGAGAGGUUGGGCGAAAGGUUUGAAGGGGCUGGGCUGCAAACCGGGAGGACUGUCAGGGAGUUAAGAGAACUGGCUGCUGUUCUGAACUAGCAAGCCAUUUUACAGAGAAGGGUGCUCCUGUGUUUUUACUGCUUACUAUUUAAUCCCACGCCUCUAUGCCUCCUAACGUUGCUUUGGUAGAGAUCUGAGCUUUUGAAUAGUGAAAUCCCAGGUAUGUAUGCUGGCCAUGUGUGCAGUCAGAGUCAAAGGCUUUCAUGCAUAAACUUUGCCGACAGCAGCAAUGAAUCUAAUUCAAUAUAAAAGAUAAACUAAAGAAAUGAAUACAUAAAUAAAUUUGUUUCACAUAACCUGUUACGUUUAAUAUACUUAUUAAACUAGGAUUGUGCUGGAGAGGGCCAUUGGAGUUUACAAUAGAUGAAUCGUUCAUUUAGUUCUUAUAUUGUAUGAACUUUAAGCUUCGUUUCUGCUAUGGGUUUCAUAGACUUCCUGCCUAAGAAGAAGGAACAUGGUCCAACUAAUUGUUUUCAUAUGUACAGGGACACAGUAUUAGUAUGUUGGCCUCUGUUGCUUCUGCUGGUCUUUAGCAAAUAGAAAGAAACAAUUCAUCUUUAUUUUAUGUACUCCAUUCCUAAGGUAAGGCAAGGCAAGGCAAGGCAAGGCUUGCCUUUUACUUUGGAAAUAUUCAAUAUUUACAGUCAAUGAAGUUACAACUUUGAGUUUAGUAUUGAUUUUUUGAAAAUGAAUUUGGUGUUGAUUUAAUAUUUCCUAAUGUUCUUAUUUAACACAUGAAUAAUUAAGGAGUAACGCACUGUAAGCAAAGGCUCUUAAUUAAACACUACCAUAGCUUUACUGUUUCUCAUUGUAUAUUUGACGUACUGUGACUACAGAGCUUAUUAAACAUUUUUGCUUACAAUUAUUUUGUGGCACCACAUGCAGGCUUCCUGUUUUUAUAGAAGGAUCCAUAUAUUUGAGGCAUACCUUACCUUGUACUUUUUACUGCUCCUAAUCAUAAGAAUUAUCAAUAUGAGAAUAUACACCUUUUAUGCAACCACCAUAG
rnacentral:lncRNA from 1 species